rnacentral:lncRNA from 1 species
GCUGUUUGUCUCCCAGGCGCAGCGGGCCACACCUGGACAGGAUGCUAAGCCUGGAUGCAGCUGACUCACCACAGGCCCGACGCCACUCCCCGCCCCACUAGUGUCGCCAACUCCGGAGGACAAGCCGCUGAUUUCAGGGUGCCCAUUAGAAUGGAAGGCCCUUGAAAAAUCCCCAAGCAGGCAAAAGAGCAUUGUAAGCAAAGCAACCCCACACUCCGUCUCUUCCUCCUCUCCAGAGAAAACUUCAGGGAAACAAGACGCCAAUGAAUGCCUAAACAAACACCCUCAUGCCAAGACUUUCUGGGCACACACGGUCAUUUCCCAUCAGAGUCAGUUCCCAGCUGCCGACCAGUCAACAACAUCUAAUCAGAGCCAUGGAUGUCCUGCAAGUCACUUGCUUUGCAACUAUCUCCAAAAUAGGUUAUCCUGACUGUCAUCUUCUGGGGGCUGCUGUAAACUAGAUUUCUCUUAGAAAUCAAUCAAGGC